GUGUCAGCCGCCGCGGUAAGACAGAGGGUGCAAACGUUGUUCGGAAUUACUGGGCGUAAAGCGUGUGUAGGCGGCCACGUAAGUCGGAUGUGAAAGCCCCGGGCUCAACCCGGGAAGUGCACUCGAUACUGCGUGGCUUGAGUACUGGAGAGGUUGGUGGAAUUCUCGGUGUAGAGGUGAAAUUCGUAGAUAUCGAGAGGAACACCGGUGGCGAAGGCGGCCAACUGGACAGAUACUGACGCUGAGACACGAAAGCGUGGGUAGCAAACAGGAUUAGAAACCCGCGUAGUCC
rnacentral:rRNA from 1 species